rnacentral:tRNA from 2 species
ACCUGGCUGGCUCAGUGGGUAGAGCAUGUGACUCUUGAUCUCAGGGUUGUGAGUUCAAGCCCCAUGUUAGGUG